rnacentral:misc_RNA from 1 species
GAUGAAGAACGUAGCGAAAUGCGAUAAGUAAUGCGAAUUGCAGAAUUCCGUGAGUCAUCGAAUCUUUGAACGCACAUUGCGCCCUUUGGCAUUCCGAAGGGCAUGCCUGUUCGAGCGUCAUUUAUCAACCCUCAAGCCCGGCUUGCGGUUGGGUCCCGCCGUGGGCGACCACGGCGGACCCGAAAGGUAAUGGCGGUGCCCGUGGGGCCCUGGACGCAGCGAGCUUCUCGGCACGCGUCCCGGCGGUCCCCGGCGCCGUCUCCACCAAUCCACCACGCAGAUUGACCUCGGAUCAGGUAGGGAUACCCGCUGAACUUAAGCAUAUCAAUAAGCGAGGA